UACGUAGGGCGCAAGCGUUGUCCGGAAUUAUUGGGCGUAAAGAGCUCGUAGGCGGCCUGUCGCGUCUGCUGUGAAAUCCCGGGGCUUAACCCCGGGCGUGCAGUGGAUACGGGCUGGCUGGAGGCAGGCAGGGGAGAACGGAAUUCCGGGUGUAGCGGUGGAAUGCGUAGAGAUCCGGAGGAAGACCGGUGGCGAAGGCGGUCUGCUGGGCAGUUUCUGACACUGAGGCGCGACAGCGUGGGGAGCAAACAGG
rnacentral:rRNA from 1 species